CAGAUAGCAUGCCAUGUCUAAGUAUAAGCAAUUAUACCGUGAAACUGCGAAUGGCUCAUUAAAUCAGUUAUCGUUUAUUUGAUAGUACCUUACUACUUGGAUAACCGUGGUAAUUCUAGAGCUAAUACAUGCUAAAAACCCCAACUUCGGGAGGGGUGUAUUUAUUAGAUAAAAAACCAAUGCCCUUCGGGGCUCUUUGGUGAUUCAUGAUAACUUAACGGAUCGCAUGGCCUUGCGCCGGCGACGGUUCAUUCAAAUUUCUGCCCUAUCAACUUUCGAUGGUAAGGUAUUGGCUUACCAUGGUUUCAACGGGUAACGGGGAAUUAGGGUUCGAUUCCGGAGAGGGAGCCUGAGAAACGGCUACCACAUCCAAGGAAGGCAGCAGGCGCGCAAAUUACCCAAUCCCGACGCGGGGAGGUAGUGACAAUAAAUACUGAUACAGGGCUCUUUUGGGUCUUGUAAUCGGAAUGAGUACAAUUUAAACCCCUUAACGAGGAACAAUUGGAGGGCAAGUCUGGUGCCAGCAGCCGCGGUAAUUCCAGCUCCAAUAGCGUAUAUUAAAGUUGUUGCAGUUAAAAAGCUCGUAGUUGAACCUUGGGCCUGGCUGGCCGGUCCGCCUCACCGCGUGUACUGGUCCGGCCGGGCCUUUCCUUCUGGAGAUCCUCAUGCCCUUCACUGGGUGUGUUGGGGAACCAGGACUUUUACUGUGAACAAAUUAGAGUGUUCAAAGCAGGCCUUUGCUCGAAUACAUUAGCAUGGAAUAAUAGAAUAGGACGUGCGGUCCUAUUUUGUUGGUUUCUAGGACCGCCGUAAUGAUUAAUAGGGAUAGUCGGGGGCAUCAGUAUUCAAUUGUCAGAGGUGAAAUUCUUGGAUUUAUUGAAGACUAACUACUGCGAAAGCAUUUGCCAAGGAUGUUUUCAUUAAUCAGUGAACGAAAGUUAGGGGAUCGAAGACGAUCAGAUACCGUCGUAGUCUUAACCGUAAACUAUGCCGACUAGGGAUCGGGCGAUGUUUCUAUCUUGACUCGCUCGGCACCUUACGAGAAAUCAAAGUUUUGGUCUGGGG
rnacentral:rRNA from 1 species